rnacentral:rRNA from 1 species
UUGGGUUAAGUCCCGCAACGAGCGCAACCCACGUUUUUAGUUGCCAGCAUUGAGUUGGGCACUCUAGAGAGACUGCCGGUGACAAACCGGAGGAAGGUGUGGAUGACGUCAAGUCAGCAUGCCCCUUACACUCUGGGCUACACACGUACUACAAUGCCACGGACAGAGGGUUGCGAGCCAGCGAUGGUGAGCUAAUCUCGUAAACCGUGGCCCAGUUCAGAUUGCAGGCUGCAACUCGCCUGCAUGAAGGCGGAAUCGCUAGUAAUCGCCGGUCAGCAUACGGCGGUGAAUACGUUCCCGGGCCUUGUACACACCGCCCGUCACACCAUGGGAGUUGGCCAUGCCCGAAGUCGUUACUCCAACCAUUCGUGGAGGGGGACGCCGAAGGCGGGGCUGAUGACUGGGGUGAAGUCGUAACAAGGUAGCCGUACCGGAAGGUGUGGCUGGAUCACCUC